CAUUGAAAGCCUUGUAAGGCCCUCAGACAUGGAAAGAAACUUGUCAGUCUUUAAAAUUCAGCAUUGCCCAGCUAUUUGACCAGAGAAACCCUUUACCCAUGAUUCUGUGCACUGUUGCUGCUUAGGAGAUGCUUUGUGUAAGCACUGCCUAGAGGUGUACUCUUUCCAAAAUUUAUUUUCCAUUUAAAUGUACAAGUAACUUAAUGUUCCUUAAUUUUUAAAAUUCUUAAUUCUGCUGAUCUGCUGAAAUGUCUGGCUAUGGACCAUGACUACACAUUCCCUUUGCCUUAAACUGAACUGUUAUAUUUUCUGUUUUUGUGGCUGAAAGU
rnacentral:lncRNA from 1 species